rnacentral:rRNA from 1 species
UACGUAGGGAGCAAGCGUUGUUCGGAUUUACUGGGCGGAAAGGGCGCGUAGGCGGCGCGGUAAGUCACUUGUGAAAUCUCUGAGCUUAACUCAGAACGGCCAAGUGAUACUGCAGUGCUAGAGUGCAGAAAGGGCAAUCGGAAUUCUUGGUGUAGCGGUGAAAUGCGUAGAUAUCAAGAGGAACACCUGAGGCGAAGGCGGGUUGCUAGGCUGACACUGACGCUGAGGCGCGAAAGCCAGGGGAGCAAACGGG